rnacentral:lncRNA from 1 species
GGCAGGUCUCAGGGGACUGUGGUGGGUACUCAUGGGGGCGUUAAUUUGGGGAGCAAUGGGCUCAUUUAGGAAGACCACUGGGCAGCCCCUGCUGUGGAAGCUAGAUUGGGGCAGAGAGAGAGCGUUGACGAGGAGUCCAGAAAAUUACUUUUUGCUGGUCUCCGGGAGAAGGAUGAAGGAUCUAAUCAAGAGCAGUGGCACUUCUCAUGAGAGCGAGACUGGAUCUGAAGGACAUCUAGGGAUAUCGGAGAUCAACCUGGCUUAAACAAAAAUAGAGACGUGUUUUGCAGAGCUACAGAGGUCGUAGACCGGGAAGCCACCAAGAGCCACAGCAGGCACCCUGUCUGUGCGUCUUGCUCUCUCUGGAGCCCGAGGGUCAUUCAUCUUUGCACUUCUCUGGGACUGAGCUUCGUUUUUCAAUCUCCCUCUCUGGUUCGGUUUUAUCCUUUUGACACACGGCGUCAGAUGGCUGCCCCACAGUUUCCAGCUUCCCUGCAGUGUGACUUACGAAUUAGACGCGUUCCUGGGAGGAGAACGUGAUUGGCUCAGCUCAAGUCACGUGCUCGCCACUACCCAGUCAACUGUAACCAGGAAGGUGCAGUCACGUCCAGCAAUUAACGCUGCGGUGCUCGAUCAUCCAGGGUAUCCAGGAAAGGACUCACCAUCCUCCAGAAGGGUCUGCUGUUCCCCGCCUCAGCGUUCUCUUCUGGAAGGUGGGAUGACAAUUCCUACCUACCGCGAAGAUGAAAGGAGCUAACCCGUGGAAGUUCAUUGUCAACCGUAUAGCACCACAUAUAAAUUCUUCUGUACCCUCUUCUUCUCUGGGACCUGAGGCCCAUGCUUUCUCUCUUUGCCACCCCUUGCCGAGGGAGAUAUCCUGCGGCUGGAAGAAGAGGAGGGGCUGGAUGCUGACCUUCCAGAAGCUCUAGAAGCAGAUAACAGGGUCAACAAUGAGGGCAUGAGUCGAGGAAGACCAGAAAGCCAAAGUCCGAAGGUGAUGCCAGGCUCAGGAGCCAUAGAAGUGUCUGGAUUCUGGGAACAAAGAACCAAGGAUCAAGCUCAGGGAAGUACAAGCGACUUCUGAAUGAUUAGUAUGCUGCUGAAACCAAAUCCUACUGGGGCCUUAAUCAAAGAAAUUAAGGUUCUCCCCCCAAAUCAUGUAACCUGUAAUUGAGGGGAGAAUGGAUCAAAAUCCACCCGGUCGGAGUCCAAAGCUACCACACCUCGUUGUCUCCUAGGUGUCGUUGGGAAAGGCUUUCCACUGACUCUGGAUGGCUCUUCCUGUGCAGGGAGUUCAAUUAGUGUAACUCCAGGUCCCUUUCACCCAGUUUAUUCUUGCUACCCUGGGAGAUGUAAUGACCUUAUCUUACCAAUUGGUAAAUUGAGGGAGAAUAAUGGGGCCUGCUGGUGUGGUCCCUGCUCUCUCUCGGG